UUCUAAGUAGCAACAGACGUAUUGAGGGGCUUCAACUCCAAUCAAAUACUGUCAAACAAAAAUUCAUCAAUAUUUCUUUAAUUCCAUUAACUCCAAAAUUUACGACAUUGAGAUUAAUCACUAUUUAAUUUUCAUGAUUAAGGUUAUGAUAUGCAUAAUCUAAACAGUACCUUUUUUUAACAGGGAAUUAUAUUUUCAACAACAGAAAUAAUCAAAGGAACAACAGAUCCAACAUCAGGAAUAAUCAAAUUAAAUCAUAUAUUUAACACUUUGUCAAUAAAAAAUUUACCAAGAUCAAUAGAUUUAAUUCAUAUUUGUAUUGCUAACUCAGACUUAGAUCCAACAAUUGAAUUUAAUGAAGAAAAAAUCAAUCCAUUUUUAACUAAAUUGAGAGGUGAUAU